AGAGUUUGAUCCUGGCUCAGGAUGAACGCUGGCGGCGUGCCUAACACAUGCAAGUCGAACGAAGAGGCUCCUUCGGGAGUACUUCAGUGGCGGACGGGUGAGUAACACGUAGGUGACCUGCCCCGAAGCAGGGGAUAACGGCUCGAAAGGGCCGCUAAUACCCAAAAGGGUCGCGAGUCGCAUCGCGAUCAGAGUUACGGCGUUUCGGGAGGGGCCUGCGGCCCAUCAGCUAGUUGGUAGGGUAAUGGCCUACCAAGGCGACGACGGGUAGGGGGCCUGAGAGGGUGAUCCCCCACAUUGGCACUGACACACGGGCCAAACUCCUACGGGAGGCAGCAGUGAGGAAUAUUGAGCAAUGGGCGAAAGCCAGACUCAGCAACGCCGCGUGGACGAUGAAGGCCUUCGGGUCGUAAAGUCCUUUUCAGGGGGACGAGAGAGGACGGUACCCCUGGAAUAAGUCACGGCUAACUACGUGCCAGCAGCCGCGGUAAAACGUAGGUGGCGAGCGUUAUCCGGAUUCAUUGGGCGUAAAGGGCCUGCAGGCGGUCCCGUAAGUGGGAUGUGAAAUCUCCUGGCUUAACUGGGAGAGGUCAUUCCAUACUGCGGGACUUGAGGGCAGAAGAGGGAAGCGGAAUUCCCGGUGUAGUGGUGAAAUGCGUAGAUAUCGGGAGGAACACCAGUGGCGAAGGCGGCUUCCUGGUCUGCUCCUGACGCUAAGAGGCGAAAGCUAGGGGAGCGAACGGGAUUAGAAACCCCGGUAGUCCUAGCCGUAAACGAUGGAUGCUAGGUGUAGGUGGUCCCAACCCCAUCUGUGCCGAAGCUAACGCGUUGAGCAUCCCGCCUGGGGACUACGGCCGCAAGGUUAAAACUCAAAGGAAUUGACGGGGGCCCGCACAAGCAGCGGAGCGUGUGGUUUAAUUCGAUCUACACGAAGAACCUUACCCAGGUUUGACAUGCAGGUAGUAGUGAAGCGAAAGCGGAACGACCCUUCGGGGAGCCUGCACAGGUGCUGCAUGGCUGUCGUCAGCUCGUGCCGUGAGGUGUUUGGUUAAGUCCAGUAACGAGCGCAACCCCUGUUGUCAGUUACAUGUGUCUGACGAGACAGCCGGUCUUAAGCCGGAGGAAGGUGGGGAUGACGUCAAGUCAGCAUGGCCUUUAUAUCUGGGGCUACACACACGCUACAAUGGCCGGUACAAUGGGUCGCCAACCCGCGAGGGGGAGCCAAUCCUAAAAAGCCGGUCUCAGUUCGGAUUAGAGGCUGCAACCCGCCUCUAUGAAGUCGGAGUUGCUAGUAAACGCAGGUCAGCCAUACUGCGUUGAAUACGUUCCCGGGCCUUGUACACACCGCCCGUCACGUCAUGGGAGCUGGUAACACCUGAAGCCGGUGAGCUAACCGCAAGGAAGCAGCCGUCGAGGGUGGGACUGGUGACUGGGACGAAGUCGUAACAAGGUA
rnacentral:rRNA from 1 species